AGUUGCGAAGGCGGCUCUCUGGACUGUAACUGACGCUGAGGCACGAAAGCGUGGGGAGCAAACAGGAUUAGAUACCCUGGUAGUCCACGCUGUAAACGAUGAGUACUAGGUGUCGGGGGUUACCCCCUUCGGUGCCGCAGCUAACGCAUUAAGUACUCCGCCUGGGAAGUACGCUCGCAAGAGUGACACUCAAAGGAAUUGACGGGGACCCGCACAAGUAGCGGAGCAUGUGGUUUAAUUCGAAGCAACGCGAAGAACCUUACCUAAGCUUGACAUCCCAAUGACAUCUCCUUAAUCGGAGAGUUCCCUUCGGGGACAUUGGUGACAGGUGGUGCAUGGUUGUCGUCAGCUCGUGUCGUGAGAUGUUGGGUUAAGUCCCGCAACGAGCGCAACCCUUGUCUUUAGUUGCCAUCAUUAAGUUGGGCACUCUAGAGAGACUGCCAGGGAUAACCUGGAGGAAGGUGGGGAUGACGUCAAAUCAUCAUGCCCCUUAUGCUUAGGGCUACACACGUGCUACAAUGGGUAGUACAGAGGGUUGCCAAGCCGUAAGG
rnacentral:rRNA from 1 species